rnacentral:pre_miRNA from 1 species
AGUAGAAUUGCUGGAUCAUAUGGUAACUAUAUUUAGCUUUUUGAGAAACUGCCAGACUGUUUUUCAAAGUGGCUGCACCAUUUUACAUUCCCACCAGCAGC